rnacentral:rRNA from 1 species
GGGUUGUGAGGUUAAGCGACUAAGCGUACACGGUGGAUGCCCUGGCAGUCAGAGGCGAUGAAGGGCGUGCUAAUCUGCGAUAAGCGCCGGUAAGGUGAUAUGAACCGUUAUAACCGGCGAUACCCGAAUGGGGAAACCCAGUGUGACUCGUCACACUAUCAUUAACUGAAUCCAUAGGUUAAUGAGGCGAACCGGGGGAACUGAAACAUCUAAGUACCCCGAGGAAAAGAAAUCAACCGAGAUUCCCCCAGUAGCGGCGAGCGAACGGGGAGGAGCCCAGAGCCUGAAUCAGCAUGUGUGUUAGUGGAAGCGUCUGGAAAGGCGCGCGAUACAGGGUGACAGCCCCGUACACAAAAGCGCAUGUGCUGUGAGCUCGAUGAGUAGGGCGGGACACGUGGUAUCCUGUCUGAAUAUGGGGGGACCAUCCUCCAAGGCUAAAUACUCCUGACUGACCGAUAGUGAACCAGUACCGUGAGGGAAAGGCGAAAAGAACCCCGGCGAGGGGAGUGAAAAAGAACCUGAAACCGUGUACGUACAAGCAGUGGGAGCCCCACCACCAAAGCAUUCUCUGGUGUUGAAGGCCCUGCAAAGCAGCAUCGCGGUGGCGGAGCGUCGUUUGCGACGCCCAACACACAAAACAAGCGGUGAAUGCUUUGGGGUGGGGUGACUGCGUACCUUUUGUAUAAUGGGUCAGCGACUUAUAUUCUGUAGCAAGGUUAACCGAAUAGGGGAGCCGGAGGGAAACCGAGUCUUAAUUGGGCGUUAAGUUGCAGGGUAUAGACCCGAAACCCGGUGAUCUAGCCAUGGGCAGGUUGAAGGUUGGGUAACACUAACUGGAGGACCGAACCGACUAAUGUUGAAAAAUUAGCGGAUGACCUGUGGCUGGGGGUGAAAGGCCAAUCAAACCGGGAGAUAGCUGGUUCUCCCCGAAAGCUAUUUAGGUAGCGCCUCGUGAAUUCAUCUCCGGGGGUAGAGCACUGUUUCGGCUAGGGGGCCAUCCCGGCUUACCAACCCGAUGCAAACUGCGAAUACCGGAGAAUGUUAUCACGGGAGACACACGGCGGGUGCUAACGUCCGUCGUGAAGAGGGAAACAACCCAGACCGCCAGCUAAGGUCCCAAAGUCAUGGUUAAGUGGGAAACGAUGUGGGAAGGCCCAGACAGCCAGGAUGUUGGCUUAGAAGCAGCCAUCAUUUAAAGAAAGCGUAAUAGCUCACUGGUCGAGUCGGCCUGCGCGGAAGAUGUAACGGGGCUAAACCAUGCACCGAAGCUGCGGCAGCGAC